rnacentral:rRNA from 1 species
AUGGUUGAUCAUUCUAUUUUCCGAAUCUUUUGUGCUUCAAUGCAACCUUUGUUCAAGGUUGUCUCAAGAAAUACCAUUAGAAAGGAUAUCUUGCUUAUGCAUUCAGCCCAAAAGGAAAAGAUGGUGAAAUAUUUUGCAAAUUUCAAACAACGAGUAGCUGUCACCUCAGACUUGUGGACUGCAGGCCAUCAAAAGAAAGGCUACAUGGUUGUUACAGCCCAUUUUAUUGAUGAAUCUUUUAAUCUAAAGAGCAUCAUUUUGAGGUUUGCAUAUGUACCAGCACCACAUAAUGGUGAAGUUAUUUGUCAAGCUUUGCACGAAUGUCUUCUUGAUUGGCAUCUAGAGAGGAAGUUAUCCACAGUUACUCUUGACAAUUGCACAAGUAAUGACAAGGCUAUUGAUAUCUUGAUAGAUAAGUUGGAUACUAAAUCACUUAUGUUGGAGGGUAAGUAUCUGCAUAUGCGUUGUUGUGCACAUAUCCUUAAUCUGAUUGUGAAAGAUGGAAUGAGUGUCAUGGAGAAAGGUAUUGCUAGAGUCCGCGAUAGUGUUGCAUUUUGGCAGGCCACACCUAAAAGGCACGAGAAAUUUGAAAAGAUGGCACACACUUUAAACAUUGACUAUUCUAGAAGGUUGUUUUUGGAUUGCAAGACUAGGUGGAAUUCAACAUAUCAAAUGAUAUCCAUUGCAUUACUAUACACUGAUGUG